UCCCUCAUAGCUCAGUUGGUUAGAGUGUGGUGCUGAAACACCAAGGUUAUAGAUUCAAUCCUGGUAUGGGAGAG